GUGAUCGGAAGCGGAAGACGCAAUCGAUGGAGUUCGAAACGGACCGCCACCGGAAGCAAUUUCUAGUGGAUCAACCCUAGGGACAUCGUAGGGUACCGGAGAUCCAGCAUACUCAACGGCGAAGGAAUAAUCGAGGUGCUCCUCGUCCGGUAACGGAGCUCCGGCGGGAAGCAUGCGGCGGAGCAUGUCCUGCCAUUUUUUGUCUUCUUCGGUUGACUCCGAUGCCAUUCGAGAGUUUCUGUGAUGUGUUUGGAAAGUGAAAAAGUGUGAGAAAAUGAAAAAUGAAAAGUGAAAAUAGAAAGAAUCAGAGAAAGUGAAAAGUGUUUUAUCAUCUUCUUUUGAUUCUGAGCUGAGAAAGAGAAGAAGACAAAAAUGGGGAAUGAGUUUGUGAGUUGUGAAACUGAGUUGGGAGAUGCUGCUGUAGUUGCUUAAAAGUAAACGGAGUCAGUUAACGGUGGAAUAUAUCUGUCUGAAGUGACGGUGGUGAUUCCAUUAUCUUAAACGUCAUCGUUAUUGCAUUCAUGUAAAUGAGUUUUUAUACUGCCACAAAAGUAGACUUUAGGUUUUGUGCACGCGAGGAAGGAGUCUUUUGGUGGAGUAGAGUUCGGCUUUUACCUUUCCAACUUCUAAUUCGAAUCACCUAACUAGUUUAGUUUUCUCUCCCACUUGAAGUCAUAUAUAAGGAUAGGGAUAAGGAUCUGGGUGAGAAUAUAAUGCAUUGGGUGGAGUUAUUUGUAAGAAUUCCGACUCGACCAUAG